rnacentral:rRNA from 1 species
AUUGAACGCUGGCGGCAGGCCUAACACAUGCAAGUCGAACGGUAACAGGAAGCCGCUCGCUGCUUUGCUGACGAGUGGCGGACGGGUGAGUAAUGUCUGGGAAACUGCCCGAUGGAGGGGGAUAACUACUGGAAACGGUAGCUAAUACCGCAUAACGUCGCAAGACCAAAGAGGGGGACCUUAGGGCCUCUUGCCAUCGGAUGUGCCCAGAUGGGAUUAGCUAGUAGGUGGGGUAACGGCUCACCUAGGCGACGAUCCCUAGCUGGUAUGAGAGGAUGACCAGCCACACUGGAACUGAGAAACGGUCCAGACUCCUACAGGAGGCAGCAGUGGGGAAUAUUGCACAAUGGGGGCAAGCCUGAUGCAGCCAUGCCGCGUGUAUGAAGAAGGCCUUAGGGUUGUAAAGUACUUAAAGCGGGGAGGAAGGGAGUAAAGUUAAUACCGUUGCUCAUUGACGUUACCCGCAGAAGAAGCACCGGCUAACUCCGUG